UCUCAGGGAGAACUUCUGUGAUGCACUUGACCAUUUCUCUCCAAGCCUGAUGGACAUCUUCAGGAAGAAGAAGGGCCUCACUGGCCAGCUGUUGACUGAGCUUUUGCAUCAGACAAAGACCACUGAACCAACCGACAUCAGGUGCCUUUGUCUUCGAGGACUGCCAGUCAUCUUGGGGGAUGAUCCAUCAGCUUUCUUCAAGACUUCCUGUGAUGCAACUGACGAAGACUCCUACAGUCAGACUCCAGUGGGAAUCCUCUGCAUUGGUCAGGAAAGUCCUCAGCUCAACCCAUCCAGAGUGGGGAUAAUCUUGGAGGGGAGUGUGGUCACGGAUGAACUGGCAAACCUACCUCAGGCCUUCUAUGUCCUUUUUGGCCUGAUUUAUGCCCUGCACCUGGACUACCCCAAGUGUAUGAGAAAUACCUUCCACUUUGUUCAGCAGGUAAUGUUCAACCUGGGUAAAAGUGAGCUGGCACCCAAAAUACAAACCUUGAAAAAUCAGCUCUCAGUGUAAAACAUGGUUCUGUGAAGUACUAAUUCAGAUAUUUGGUGUACUUUCAUACAAACAUUGUUGUGCAACAUAUUGUUUGCAGUGCAUUACAUUAUUGCAGGAAUAUUUCACUUUUUUAUUCUGGUUAUAUGAGGUAUGACCUCUGCA